UACGUAGGGUGCAAGCGUUGUCCGGAAUUAUUGGGCGUAAAGAGCUCGUAGGCGGCUUGUCGCGUCGUUCGUGAAAACCUGCAGCUCAACUGCAGGCUUGCGGGCGAUACGGGCAGGCUAGAGUUCGGUAGGGGAGACUGGAAUUCCUGGUGUAGCGGUGAAAUGCGCAGAUAUCAGGAGGAACGCCGGUGGCGAAGGCGGGUCUCUGGGCCGAUACUGACGCUGAGGAGCGAAAGCGUGGGGAGCGAACAGG
rnacentral:rRNA from 1 species